rnacentral:lncRNA from 1 species
AAUUAGUGGUUUUAAAAUUCAGAUUUAGAUAUGGACCAGGUUGCUUUAACGUGAGAGUAGCAAGUUUUUAUUUUAUUAUUAUUAUUUUUAUACCAGGGUUGUUGUUCAAAUUAUACCUCAAAUUUGAGGUUACAAAUAUGCAGUACUGUACAAAUAUGACUCGAUCAUUCACAUCUGAUCGGCAGUUAGGGCUUCAAUACUACAAUAAUAGCUUUAGCUAGAUUUUCUGUAAGUGAAUUGAUUAAAUGUAUCAAUGAUGGGUGUGUGAAU